UACGUAGGGGGCAAGCGUUGUUCGGAAUUACUGGGCGUAAAGCGCGUGUAGGCGGUUGCCCUAGUCAGGUGUGAAAGCCUUGAGCUCAACUCAAGAAAUGCACUUGAUACUGGGCGACUAGAGGACCGGAGAGGAUAGUGGAAUUCCCAGUGUAGUGGUGAAAUACGUAGAGAUUGGGAAGAACACCAGUGGCGAAGGCGGCUAUCUGGACGGUUUCUGACGCUAAGACGCGAAAGCGUGGGGAGCAAACAGG
rnacentral:rRNA from 1 species